AGCGAACGCUGGCGGCAGGCUUAACACAUGCAAGUCGAGCGGGCCCUUCGGGGUCAGCGGCAGACGGGUGAGUAACACGUGGGAACGUACCCUUUGGUUCGGAAUAACGCUGGGAAACUAGCGCUAAUACCGGAUACGCCCUUUUGGGGAAAGGCUUGCUGCCGAAGGAUCGGCCCGCGUCUGAUUAGCUAGUUGGUGGGGUAAUGGCCUACCAAGGCGACGAUCAGUAGCUGGUCUGAGAGGAUGAUCAGACACACUGGGACUGAGACACGGCCCAGACUCCUACGGGAGGCAGCAGUGGGGAAUAUUGGACAAGGGGCGCAAGCCUGAUCCAGCCAUGCCGCGUGAGUGAUGAAGGCCUUAGGGUUGUAAAGCUCUUUUGUCCGGGACGAUAAUGACGGUACCGGAAGAAUAAGCCCCGGCUAACUUCGU
rnacentral:rRNA from 1 species